rnacentral:snoRNA from 1 species
GCCGAUGAUGAGAAACCGAUACUGACCGGUGAUGAGCCCUAUGAGUCGCCUGAGG